CCGGGUUGCACCCUCUGCCUGCAGAGGGAGUGAUGCAGGGCUUCACUGAAGAGCUUAGGCUGGAGUCCAGCUGCCCUGUUAACCUAAAGAACGCCCGUCGACCUGGACACUUACCAACCCAGUAAGAGGGACGGCGUGCAUAUCCCGCAAGUGGACUGAUAAAACCCAUCGUGCCGCAGGUGAAAGCCCGUCACCAAACCCUAACAGUCAACGCCUCCACAGCCGAGUGGUGGCCAAGGUUACCCCCCGGAGCCUGGUCUCCCUCUAACUUCAGCUACCUCAAUUGUGUCUUGUCAAAAAAGGCCUGGAACUGUACAAACACCACUAACUCUUCUGCCACAUACGCCUGCCUAAGUGCACUAUGCGACAAUCCUAGGAACACCAGCUGACGACGGACUGCCCCGAUGGAUUCCUUUGGAUAUGGGGAACCCAGGCUUGCUCACGGCUACCUUAGCACUAGCUUCCUACGCACAAUUCAACCUGGAUUCAUCUUACUUCCAAAGCAGGCGGGCAACACCCUCGGAGUCCCUGCGUAUGAUAACCAGAGAAAAACGGUCCUUAAAGGCAGGAGGAAGCCAAAGACCGUGAGAGGACGAGUGGCCUCCGCAAUGGAUCAUCGAAUAUUACGGUCCUGCCACCUGGGCUGAGGAUGGUUCACGGGGUUAUCGCACUCCCACAUAUAUCCUAAAUAGAAUAAUUAGACUACAGGCUGCUCUAGAGAUAAUCACUAACCAAACCGCCUCAGCCCUGGAAAUGCUCGUGUGACAACAAAACCAAACGCACCCAGCAAUUUAUCAAAACAGGCUGGCUCUAGACUACUUAUUAACAGAAGAGGGUGCGGUCUGUGCUAAGUUUAACAUGUCCAAUUGCUGUCUUAACAUAGAUGAUAAUGGAAAAGCGGUUCUAGAAAUCGCUUCAAACAUCAGAAAAGUAGCCCGUGUACCAGUCCAAACCUGGAAGGGAUGGGACCCAACAAACCUUCUAGGAGGGUGGUUCUCUAAUUUAGGGGGAUUUAAAACGCUGGUAGGGACAGUAAUCUUCAUCAUUGGGGUCCUCCUGUUUCUCCCCUGUGGUAUCCCACUGAUAAUAAAAGCCAUUAAAACUCUU